rnacentral:rRNA from 1 species
UACGUAGGGGGCGAGCGUUAUCCGGAAUUACUGGGCGUAAAGCGCACGCAGGCGGUUCGCCAAGUUUGGAGUGACAGUUGUCGGCUCAACCGACAAAGGACUUCAAAAACUGGUGAACUUGAGGACGAGAGAGGAACAUGGAACUCCAGGUGUAGUAGUGAAAUGCGUAGAUAUCUGGAAGAACACCAAUGGCGAAGGCAAUGUUCUGGCUCGUUUCUGACGCUCAGGUGCGAAAGCCAGGGGAGCGAACGGGG